GACGAACGCUGGCGGCGUGCUUAACACAUGCAAGUCGAACGGAAAGGCCUGCUUUCCCUUGUGGAUUGCGGGUACUCGAGUGGCGAACGGGUGAGUAACACGUGAGUGAUCUGCCCCCAACUUGGGUAUAAGCCUGGGAAACUGGGUCUAAUUCCCGAUAGGACUGCAGGGUGGUGCCUGUGGUGGAAAACGAUUUUCUAGUGGUUGGGGAUGAGCUCGCGGCCUAUCAGCUUGUUGGUGGGGUAAUGGCCUACCAAGGCGGCGACGGGUAGCCGGCCUGGGAGGGUGGACGGCCACAUUGGGACUGAGAUACGGCCCAGACUCCGACGGGAGGCAGCAGUGGGGAAUAGUGCACAAUGGGCGGAAGCCUGAUGCAGCGACGCCGCGUGGGGGAUGACGGCCUGCGGGUUGUAAACUCCUUUCGACCGCGAGGAAGCCACCUGGUUGGAAGGGUGGUGACGGUAGUGGUAGAAGAAGCACCGGCUAACUACGU
rnacentral:rRNA from 1 species